GCCUGGAUGGCUCAGUUGGUUAGAGCGUGAUGCUGAUAAUGCUAAGGCUGCAGGGUCGAUCCCUGUAUGGGUCAGCUGCA
rnacentral:tRNA from 1 species